rnacentral:rRNA from 1 species
UACAGAGGUCUCAAGCGUUGUUCGGAUUCAUUGGGCGUAAAGGGUGCGUAGGCGGCGCGGUAAGUCGUGUGUGAAAUCUCGGAGCUUAACUCCGAAACUGCAUUCGAUACUGCCGUGCUUGAGGACUGGAGAGGAGACUGGAAUUUACGGUGUAGCGGUGAAAUGCGUAGAUAUCGUAAGGAAGACCAGUGGCGAAGGCGGUUGCCUGGAGCUUUGCUGACGCUGAUGCGCGAAAGCGUGGGGAGCGAUCCGG